GACGAACGCUGGCGGCGUGCUUAACACAUGCAAGUCGAACGGAAAGGCCCUGCUUUUGUGGGGUGCUCGAGUGGCGAACGGGUGAGUAACACGUGAGUAACCUGCCCUUGACUUUGGGAUAACUUCAGGAAACUGGGGCUAAUACCGGAUAGGAGCUCCUGCUGCAUGGUGGGGGUUGGAAAGUUUCGGCGGUUGGGGAUGGACUCGCGGCUUAUCAGCUUGUUGGUGGGGUAGUGGCUUACCAAGGCUUUGACGGGUAGCCGGCCUGAGAGGGUGACCGGCCAAAUGGGGAAGGGGUUACGGCCCGGCCUCCUACGGGAGGCAGGAGGGGGGAAUAUGGCACAAGGGGCGGAAGCCUGAGGCAGCAACGCCGGGUGGGGGAGGGGGGCCUUCGGGUUGUAAACCGCUUUCGCCGGUGACGAAGGGUGAGUGACGGGAAUGGGUAAAGAAGCACCGGCUAAAUACGU
rnacentral:rRNA from 1 species